CAAACGGUUUACGGCAUAAGGCUCAACAUCAACAUAUGGGGCUUGUCUUAACGCAUAAUGUGGGUAUAUUUAACGUAAUGUUUAAUAAUGUUGUAAACGGCUUACAGCAUAAGGCUCAACGUCAACAACUGGGGGUUGUCUUAACGCAUAAUGUGGGUAUAUUUAAUGUAAUAUUUAAUUAUGUUCCCUUUACCAUGAUUGCCGGAGUGCAAAAUAGUGCAGUGACUUCUACCACUUGAACAGUUCUGGUUUGGGUCCAAGCAUUAUACGUGUGAUCUUUAUUAUUGUUUGUCUGGGCUAUUACUCUGAUCAUGAUAUUCCCAAGAAUAUUUGUUAAUGAACAGUGUUCUUCCAAAAAAUAUUUGAUAGACUGUGUGAUCCCCCACCUCAUCUUCUUACUCCAUAGUGACACCAUCUAUCUCGUUUUCAAGUAAACUGUCAUGUUUCGGUGAAACUGGCUGUCUUCGCUGUCUUCCAUGAUCGAAACUGGCAAUCUUACAUGAUCUGUCGUUGUGACGCAUGCGCGGCUUCGCUGUCGACAGUGUCGCAAAGUGACGCAUGCGCGACUGGGAUCGGGUAGUGACAAAUGCGGCGUCUAUGUCUAUGGAUUUACGACUGCUACUGUUCCAAAUUAAGAACGAAUCCCAGAUGAGAAAACUUUCAUGAGUGAAUUGUCGCGGGAACUUUGUAAAUGGAGUUAAGAAGAAAUGUAUGUUUACUUUCUUCUUAACUGCGUUCGAGAAUGAGGUCCAAUGUAUUUUACUUUCCUUUUGUGUUCUCACUCUCUCAGAUGGCCCACGUUUCCUUAAAUAUUUGCGUGCAUUUAAUAUGCUACCCACCAUUGCAUUAACAGUUGACAGAGAUGCACUUGGUUGGCAUAUCUCGAAGUAGAAAGACUGAGCCUUUAGGUCAGUGUCUAAUCACUAGCUGGUUUGGGAUGGACCUCCGAAAAGUGUAUGUGUAGGGUUGAGUAUAUGUUCAUUUGAAUACACAUGUGUACAUUUUCAUUUGUUGAGUUACGUUACUUUGCUGUUUUUGGCUUAACCCACAAAGGGGAACUUUGCAGAGUGAGCGGGACCUACUGACUGACUGAUCUACUUCACUGUAACCCGAUGCCACUUUAACCACGCCCCCCGACCUAGACCACAGAGACCACCAGUUGUAUCUUUCUCUAUCGUUCGCCUCCAUCCAAGGGUGCCCACCUCUCUGUAAUCAACUGCUAACUAACUCUGCAACCGAAGCCAAACGAAGCACGACAUCGGGAAGACAAACUACAACGGAACGAGCGAUCGAAUCCUCCGACCUAAACUGCAGUGUACAAAGACGACAUCACAGAUAGGACAACUUUCUCAAUCUAAGGACAUCACCAUCUUUUCUCAACUAUACUAGCUACUCACUACCUGACUAAGCAUAGGACUGUUUACAUUUGCCAUCGUUCAUGUAUUUUAUCUGUUUUGUUCACCGAACAUAACUGUUGAUAUAUAUUUCCAAGGUUAUUUGGUAGUUGGCUUCGCCACACCAUUUAAGGGCUAUCGUUAGUAUUGCUUCUCAGAGACAUGAGGUCUGCCUUUGUGUUGUGUCGGUCCAAUCGGUUGAGAUAACCAACAUAUUGGUGCUGUUGUCAGGAUAGUACCAAUGGACCUCACUCUCGAACACUUUCUUUAAUGUCUUCUUACGAACCUCGUAAUACCAACCCUAAGAAAGCUCCCUGCCAGAUUCAUGAAUACGUGGAAAUGUGUUCUUAAACGGCCAACGUGUUCUCAGCUGCGCUCCCCCGAAUGAGGAUUCUUAAAUUGAAUGUGCAUUCUCGUACACCUGAAUUUGCAUACAUAAUCGCCCUGCCAGCUCCUUAUAAGUGCGAUAGACUCCUGUGCACACAGAACCCACAGGUAAUGCAACAGCAACACAAUUUCAAAUCAUGUCAAAGCGGAAAGCAAACAACAGUGGCGCACAUGCCAGUAAACGAAGACCUAACUUUACCGGUCCAGAGAUGGAGGUAUUGUUUCAAGGUGUAGAGAGUAAGCGUGACAUCUUAUUUAGUCCUGUAAGUGCGGGGUACAACUCCAGCAAAAAAAAAGAGGCAUGGGAGGACAUAACAGGUGACAUUAACAUGGUGUCAGGAGAGGGGCGCACAGCAGCUGAAGUUAAAAAGAAAUGGGCUGAUGUGAAAUCAGAGGCCAAAAAAAGAAUCUCCAAGCAUAGGAGAGACAUGCUGGCCACUGGAGACGGAACAGCGGACCCAGGGUUGUCUGAGAGGGACCAGCGCGUCGAGGCCAUCAUGGAAGCCAAACCAGUCGACGGUGUGCCAGGUGCUGAUAAUAUGGACACAGACCAGGGGUACCACCUAUCCUCAGCAGCCGUGGCCCCAUCACCCAUCCUAUCUCCCCCGUUGAUUAAGCGAGAAAUUGAAACGGACGAUGAAACUGAUGAUUCUGAGGCAGAACCAGCCCAGCCGUCCACAAGCGCUGCCCCACCAGCCCGGCCGUCCAUCAGCGCUGCCACGCGUGCACCCAGGGCCCGUGGUGACAUAAUAACUCAGGCGGUGCUGGACAGCCAGCUGAGAAUCGCCGACAGCCAGGAGAGAAUCGCUGGGGCACUGGAAGCGCUUGCAGCAACAAUGGCGAAAAUGAACGAUACCCUCACCCAAAUAAACAAAAAGAUGCCCUGACACCCUUGUUUGAGUAUUACUGAAGAGAUGUGUUCUGUAGAUAAAUUGUAAACUGUAUCAAAUAAUAGUGAC
ensembl:lncRNA